rnacentral:rRNA from 1 species
GUGAGGAAUAUUGGUCAAUGGACGAGAGUCUGAACCAGCCAAGUAGCGUGAAGGAUGAAGGUCCUACGGAUUGUAAACUUCUUUUAUAAGGGAAUAAAACCUCCCACGUGUGGGAGCUUGUAUGUACCUUAUGAAUAAGCAUCGGCUAACUCCGUGCCAGCAGCCGCGGUAAUACGGAGGAUGCGAGCGUUAUCCGGAUUUAUUGGGUUUAAAGGGAGCGCAGACGGGUCGUUAAGUCAGCUGUGAAAGUUUGGGGCUCAACCUUAAAAUUGCAGUUGAUACUGGCGUCCUUGAGUGCGGUUGAGGUGUGCGGAAUUCGUGGUGUAGCGGUGAAAUGCUUAGAUAUCACGAAGAACUCCGAUUGCGAAGGCAGCACACUAAGCCGUAACUGACGUUCAUGCUCGAAAGUGUGGGUAUCAAACAGGAUUAGAUACCCUUGUAGUCC